rnacentral:rRNA from 1 species
UGGGGAAUAUUCGACAAUGGGCGAAAGCCUGAUCCAGCCAUGCCGCGUGUGUGAAGAAGGUCUUCGGAUUGUAAAGCACUUUAAGUUGGGAGGAACGGCAUUCACCUAAUACGUUAGUGUUUUGACGUUACCGACCGAAUAAGCACCGGCUAACUCUGUGCCAGCAGCCGCGGUAAUACAGAGGGUGCAAGCGUUAAUCGGAAUUACUGGGCGUAAAGCGCGCGUAGGUGGUUUGUUAAGUUGGAUGUGAAAUCCCCGGGCUCAACCUGGGAACUGCAUUCAAAACUGACUGACUAGAGUAUGGUAGAGGGUGGUGGAAUUUCCUGUGUAGCGGUGAAAUGCGUAGAUAUAGGAAGGAACACCAGUGGCGAAGGCGACCACCUGGACUAAUACUGACACUGAGGUGCGAAAGCGUGGGGAGCAAACA